UUAACACAAUUCUCUAAACAGCUUUCAAAGGCGGAAGCGAUUGGAGAAAACACAAAAAAGAAGAGACAAGAGAAAAGAAAACUUACAACCGUAGCUGAGAGAGAGAGAGAGAGAGGCCUGCGUGCUGGUCUGCUACAAAGAUAAAGCAGAAAAUCUCCAUGGCUGGUGAGAAAAUGGAUUACGAAGAAGAGGAGAAGAUGCAAUAUCAGGGAAGUGGUGCCAUUCCUGCGCUUGCAGAGGAAGAGAUGGGAGAAGAUGAUGAGUAUGACGAUCUAUACAAUGAUGUCAAUGUUGGGGAGAAUUUCUUGCAGAUGCAUGGUUCGGAAGCGCCAGCCCCACCUGCUACAGCGGGGAAUGGAGGAUUCCAAACUCGAAAUGCUCAUGAAUCAAGAGUUGAAACUGGGGGUUCACAAGCGCUUGCUAUCACUGGGGGUGGGCCUGCAGUUGAAGGGAUAUAUUCUAAUGCUAAGGCUCAUUUUCCAGAGCAGAAGCAGGUGGCAGUUGCUGUUGAAGCACAGGAUGUAGGGCCUGUUGAUGGAUCUUCUGUUGCUCAGAAAGGGAGGGUUAUAGAGAUGAGUCAUGAUGUUCAAGUGCGAAACAUGGGAUUUCAGAAAUCAACACCAGUGCCCCCAGGUAUCGGGGUUGAUCCUUCUGAUAUGAGUAGAAAAAAUGCUAACGAGCCUGAACCUUUGCCAAUUACUGGCAGUGCAGGUCCUCGAGGUGCUCCACAAAUGCAAGUUAAUCAAAUGCAUAUGAGUGCAGAUGUUAAUCGCCCUGUGGUUAAUGAAAAUCAGGUCCGGCCACCUGUAGAGAAUGGUUCUACCACGCUUUAUGUUGGAGAAUUACAUUGGUGGACCACUGAUGCAGAGCUUGAAAGUUUUGCAUCUCAAUUUGGAAGGGUCAAAGAGAUUAAAUUCUUUGAUGAGAGGGCUAGUGGUAAGUCUAAAGGCUAUUGCCAAGUUGACUUCUAUGAAGCAGCUGCUGCAGCAGCAUGCAAAGAGGGAAUGAAUGGUCAUGUUUUCAAUGGACGACCUUGUGUUGUGGCUUUUGCUUCUCCACAAACACUAAAGCAGAUGGGGGCUUCUUACAUGAACAAAACCCAGGGUCAGCCUCAGACUCAGUCUCAAGGAAGGGGGUCUAUGAAUGAUGGUGCGGGAAGAGGUGGUAAUGCGAACUUUCAAAGUGGAGAUGGAGGAAGGAACUAUGGAAGAGGUGCUUGGGGAAGGGGUGGGCAGGGAAUUCUCAAUCGAGGACCUGGGGGUGGACCAAUGAGGGGAAGAGGUGCCAUGGGUCCCAAAAACAUGGCUGGGAAUGUUGCUGGAGUUGGAAGCGGUGCCAAUGGUGGAGGGUAUGGACAAGGCCUUGCAGGUCCUGCAUUUGGUGGGCCUGCCGGUGGAAUGAUGCCUCCCCAAGGUAUGAUGGGUGCUGGAUUUGAUCCACUAUACAUGGGACGAGGGGGUGGUUAUGGGGGUUUUGCUGGUCCUGGUUUUCCUGGCAUGCUUCCUUCAUUUCCUGCUGUUAAUUCAAUGGGACUUGCUGGGGUGGCUCCACAUGUCAACCCAGCUUUCUUUGCCCGAGGAAUGGCACCUAAUGGGAUGGGAAUGAUGGUUUCCUCUGGAAUGGAUGGACCGAAUCCAGGAAUGUGGUCUGACACAAGCAUGGGAGGAUGGGGAGAAGAGCAUGGUCGAAGGACAAGGGAGUCAAGUUAUGAUGGCGAUGAGGGUGCUUCUGAAUAUGGAUAUGGAGAGGGGAACCAUGAGAAGGGAGCUCGGUCAAGCGGUGCCUCUAGAGAAAAGGAACGGGGUUCUGAGCGUGACUGGUCAGGUAAUUCUGAUAGGCGUCACCGUGAUGAGAGGGAACAAGACUGGGACAGGCCAGAAAGGGAGCACAGGUACAAGGAAGAGAAAGAUAGUUACCGUGGCCAUCGGCAAAGGGAGCGUGACUCGGGUUAUGAGGAUGAUCGGGAUAGAGGGCACUCUUCUUCAAGAGCUCGGAGCAGAUCCCGUGCGGCUCCAGAAGAAGAUUACAGGUCUCGAACAAGGGAUGUAGACUAUGGCAAGAGGAGACGCCUACCAUCAGAGUGACAACACUAUGCUAUUCAUCCUCCUAGGAUGGUGCAGAGGGUGUCUUCUUGGGAGAGGAAGGAGUGGACUGGGCAACUCUCUGUUUUCAUGAUUGAUCAAUUUGUGAUGUCUGGGGAAGAUGUGUUAGAUUGAGCAGCUUCAUUGGUUCCUUCCAUAAUGGUUUUCGACUGCAAAGUUUGCAAAAGAAGCCUUGAUAUUUUUGGCUCUCUUUCUUUCCUCAAGCAUCAUUUAGGAAUCUUCAAAUAAUGCUCCUGCGAUAAUAUGUUUAGAAUGAGUUGUAUUUGUGGAGCUGUAGAAUAUAGUAUGGGAUGUCUGUGACAAGUUUUGGGAUGUGAGCAUCAUGUUUGUAUUUUGUAAAUCACUAGACACCACUCCCUUCUGUAAAUGAAUAUAUGUAUUAGGUCCAUAGCAUAGCCUCCUCACUUGUUUAUUUGACCAUAGCUCUUCUUUGAGCUUGUAAAAAGCCUUGUACUGAUGAUGAGGCUCUUUUUUGUACAUAUUUGAUUGCCUGCAAUUCGUCAUCCUAUCUGAUGUCAGAAGGGUCAGAGAUGAGCUAAGGCUGUAUAAUGAUGAGUAGCCGUUUCCACUGUAACAAAGUAGAAUCUAGCUUUUUUUCCCCCCAGAAUUGAGUUUAUGUCAUCAGUUCCUUGUAUAAUGUAGUUCUGAUGAACCUUUUGUUGUAUAUACCCUUCUUUUCUGGUUUUUCAUUAGGAUGUAGAGUUUUUCAUAAGAUGUUUAUUAGAUUUUCGGUCUUCAAUAUUCUUGUAAUUUGUAUACAAGGACAGGCACAGAUCUUGAAGGUGCACUCUCAGUGUUUUGAUGCG